UCUCUAAACACCCCUUUCUGUCUGGCUUAGCCUGUGUCCUAGUCUCACCAUCUCUAAACACCCCUUUCUGUCUGGCUUAGUCUGUGUCCUAGUCUCACCAUCUCUAAACACCCCUUUCUGUCUGGCUUAACCUGUGUCCUAGUCUCACCAUCUCUAAACACCCCUUUCUGUCUGGCUUAGUCUGUGUCCUAGUCUCACCAUCUCUAAACACCCCUUUCUGUCUGGCUUAGUCUGUGUCCUAGUCUCACCAUCUCUAUACACCCCUUUCUGUCUGGCUUAGCCUGUGUCCUAGUCUCACCAUCUCUAUACACCCCUUUCUGUCUGGCUUAGCCUCACCAUCUAUUGCAUCUGCAUAGCUACUUCCUGUUACUUUAUACACUUAUCACCCAUUCCUGCUUUCAGCUGACCCUUUCCACUACAUAACCCAGAAACAUGAGUACCCCCCUUGCUUUAAUCUAUUGUACAUGAAGUACCAACACUCCACUCUGCAUAAUCCNNNNNNNNNNAAAAACUAUUGCCAUGUGUCCCCGUUCAGAGGCAUGAGAGACUAGUCAGUGGUAGAAUUGAGUUGGCACUUUAUUGGCCCAAACACCCACAGACACACAAGGUUGAGGUUACUCAUGGACAGUAAUUCAUUUUUUUUUUUUUUUUUUUUUUGCAUUGAUGCAUUGUGUCUUCUAACUGUCCAAGAAUAGGAUCCAAAGUGUUAGGAACUAUUUGUUCCCAUAAAUACAGAGGAGGAUGUCUCUCCUCAUACCUCUGGCACUUUAGUCAGACUGCCAGACUGUGUAACAACUUCAUGAUGGGGCNNNNNNNNNNUGGCGCCACUGACCUCGGAUGGAACAAAGUGCCUUCUCGGUCCAUAGAAGGCCAUCAUCCCGGAGUUGCCUCUUCACUGUUGACUUGGAGACUGGUGUUUACUUACAAGCCCUUAACCAACCAUGCAGUUUUAAGAAAAUACCCCCCCAAAAAGGUAAGAGGAUAAGAAUAACAAUUAAUUAAAGAGCAGCAGUAAAUAACAAUGGCGGGGCUAUAUACAGGGGGUUCCGGUACAGAGUCAAUAUCAGUGUGCGGGGUACCGGUGUCAAGGUAAUUGAGGUAAUAUGUACAUGUAGGUAGAGUUCAUAGUGACUGCAUAGAUAAUAAUCGAGAGUAGCAGCGGUGUUCCGGAGGGGAGGGAAAUGCAAAUAGUCUGGGUAGCCAUUUGAUUAGCUGUUCAAGAGUCUUAUGGCUUGCGGGUAGAAGCUAUUUAGGAGCCUCUUGGACAUAGACUUGGUACCGCUUGCCGUGCUGUAGCAGAGAGAACAGUCCAUGACUAAGGUGGCUGGAGUCUUUAACAAUUUUUAGGGCCUUCCUCUGACACCGCCUGGUAUAGAGGUACUGGAUAGCAGGAAGCUUGGACCCGGUGAUGUACUGGGCCGUACGCACUACCCUCUGUAGUGCCUUGUGGUCGGAGGUCGAGCAGUUGCCAUACCAGGCAGUGAUGCAACCAGUCAGGAUGCUCCCGAUGGUGCAGCUGUAGAACCUUUUAAGGAUCUGAGGACCCAUGCCAAAUUGUUUGUCUCCUGAGGGAGAAUAGGUUUUGUCGUACCCUCUUCACGGCUGUCUUGGUGUGCUUGGACCGUGUUAGUUUGUUGGUGAUCUGGACGCCAAGGAACUUGAAGCUCUCAACCUGCUCCACUACAGCCUCAUCGACGAGAAUGGGGGCGUGCUCGGUCCUCCUUCUCCUUUAUUCCACAAUCAUCUCCUUGGUCUUGAUCACGUUGAGGGAGAGGUUGUUGGCUUUGCACUACACGGCC
rnacentral:lncRNA from 13 species